AGAGGUAACCUCUGCAGUGAUACCGUGGCUUUCAAGCAGCUCUGUAACUCCUGAAGGGGCAACACACUGUUCUGCCUGAGGUACCUUGAAAGUUGAUCCUGCUUUAUGCACAAGUAGAACAAGAUGACCUCCAGCAUGCUGUUCCAACCUACGUUCGUCUGUGACUAAUGAGGAUUCCCAGACAUGUAAGCUUAUUGCAGACAUGAACCGGAGGCAUGAGUUCUGCAGGCUUUUUAUACCUUAUCUGUACUCAAGUUUGCAUCCAUGUGACAAGGGAGACACCCGGGACUUGCUACGCAGAGAAAAAAAAUGGUGUAUGGGAAACCUCAACUGUCUACAAGUGUUGAAACAGCUCAGGUCAAGUGGUGAUAAAUAAUUUAAAGAAACCAUUGUGAUGGAAGUGUCGCUUCAAUUUUCCAUUAACGGAUCUAAUAGAUUUUAAACUUUUCUGACAGGUAAUUUCUGGAUGAAAUCAUACUUUUGCACCUUUGUUUCAUAAUAUCAUUUGCUUACUCAUGCAUUUUGUACAAACCUCGGUGUCGGCACAGAUACUGCUUUAGAUGCCCAUUGAUUCUGGCUGGCCAAUGUAAUAUUGACUUCUAAAAUAAAUGGUAAGAGUGCCAGGUUUUGUUUUUAGCAACUCAGAAAAAAACCUGUUGUGUGUUACCUGUGAAGUGCCAACCAGAAGGAACGUUUUGUGUUGGAAUUUAGUAAAACACUGUGCUUGUAUUCUCACAUCAGUACUUCUCUAGCAGGAACGACAGAGCUUUGCAUGCUGUUUUUAACAGGGGGAUAUACUCCACCUGGAAUUACAAUGAGGAAUAGAUCUCGCUGUACUUAUUUAUCUCAUUAAUUAUUUUCUUUGAACAGCUGGUGAACUCUGAGCUAUACUCUGCGAAUAUUGUGUCUUGAAGAAAUGUUGUGUAAAAAAUAAGAGAAACCUCAAUCUUGUAAUUGUUAGAAAUGUGUGGAAACUUCAUUCAUUUUGUAACAGUACCUCAAAACUAGACUGCAACUAAGAAUGGAUUUUCCUUAAAAAAUUGAGUCGCCAUCCCUGGUUGUGUUUAAGAGCCGUUUGGAUGUGGUACUCAG